rnacentral:tRNA from 1 species
GAUAUGAUAGUUCAAUUGAUAGAACACACAAGAAUCGGUUUCUUGUGAGAUGAUGGUUCAAAACCACUUGUAUCU